AAAACCAAGAACGGAUAGAACCCUAGGACAAAUGGUGGAGGCAAAACUAUACAGACAAGAUCUCACACAGAAGCAUACACAUACACAUUCACAAAAAGAGGAAAAGGGGAAAAAAUCAUAGAUCUUGCUCUUGAAGCCCACCUCCUCAAUUUGGGAUGAUUCCUUGUCUAUUCAGGUGUUCCACAGAUGCAGGGUACAUCAAGUUGAUUGUGGAGCUUUAAUCCGCUGCUUCUGAGGCUGCUGUGAGAGAUUUCCCUUUCUCUUCUUUGUUCUCACAGCUCACAUGGGCUCAGCUUUGGAUUUGGCCCUGCCUCUGCGUGUAGGUCGCUGGAGGGCGUCUGUUCUUCACUCAGACAGGACGGAGUUAAAGGAGCCGCUGAUUCGGGGGCUCUGGCUCACUCAGGCCAGGGGGAGGGAGGGGCACUGCGUGCGGGGCGGGCCUGCGGCGGCAGAGGCCGACGUGACGUUGCAGUAGCCUGAGGCCCGCCGUGCGUUCUCCCGGGGAAGUUGUCCCUGGAUCCCGGGAACCUGGCAGUGGCGGGCUGCACAGGCUCCGCGGAAGAGGGGUGUGGAUAGUGACCUGUGCUCGCACACAGACCCCUUGGUGGCGGCAGCAGCAGCCUUAGCGUCUCCCACCCAUCCCUGGCGUCCAUGCUUUUAGCCGCGGCUCGCGCCCGUCUCUCAAAGUUCUUAAGCAUUUACGUGCCUACCAAUACGUGGACGGACAAGUAACCAGAGGAUGCAGCACACCUAACUCUGCCCGCGGUAAGGAUUUCCAGUAAGAAGAGACUGAAUGCCUAGCCAGGGGACAGUGGCUCCAGGGCUCCAGGAUCCUGGUCAGGGGCAGGUAGGUGGAGUUUUGCUGCUGGUGCAGGCAGGGCCAACUCCAGGGGUGGCCCAGGGCCUGAGGAGGGGCCUUUAUGCAGCUGGUGCUCAGACUGUGUGGUUCUUACAGCAGGACCUCGCCUUCCCUCACCAAGGCUGGGCAGAGGGUGCCCCUCCCCUUCUGGAGUCCUUCCUGGUCUCAAGCUAACCUCUUGUAAUGUCACUUCUCUGAAAGGUCAGUUUGUCCCUCCUCCCCAACUUGUCCUGUAUAUAUUUUGACUUUCACUCUGUAUAAAAAAAUUUCUAGAGCUCUGGUCUUUGGAGGAAAACUCAAGUGCUAAUUGUGCCCCAAGCUUUUGGAUUUAUUUAUUUAUUUUUUUUUUGAGGGGGGACGAGGCUUGUUGGAAAAAGCUGCCUAGAAUGCGUGGGGAUGUGUUUACGAAUGAGUUCUGCAGAGAUGUGGCUCGACGACCCUUAUUUGCUCAAAUCUCGAGCACUGUUUUCGUUCUAAUCAGGAGAAAACCCUACAGGGUGUGUGCCCGGUAAGAAGCUACAAAAAGUUCCGGCACAGGUGCACCAGAGCCAAUGGAAAUCUUUCUGGAGGCUCUGCUAGUGAUUCCCUAGGGUGGUUCCAGGUAAGUUCCAGGAAUGCAUCAUCAAUUCCCUUUCUAGGUCUUCACCCUGAUUGUCUGAUAGGGUAAACCUCAG